UGUAACGGAAGUUUGCUAAGUAAUUAUUUUUAUUUCCCUGGGGUGGUGUAUUCAAUUUAAUCUUAAUUCAUCUCGUCGUUAAUAGUUGUGUUGUGAAGUUUUUAGGAAAAAGUUUAUCGCGUGACUUGAUUACAGUUGGCGCUUGAGAUUUUCAUCUAUUGUUGUGACUUCGUUGGUCAAGUUAUAAAAAAGCCCGGCCUUCAAGGUAACACUGGGAUUUUACCAUAUUAAUGCAAAUAUUUGCUUCAGUGGUGUGGUCGGCUUGGUCUUGGCCAGCCACCUUGGUGGCCGCGAGUUCGAUUCUCAUGCAUUCCAUUAAGGAGUGAGAGAUGUGUAUUUCUGGUGAGAGAAUUCACACACGACGUGGUUCGGAAGUCACGUAAAGCCGUUGGUCCCAUUGCUGAAUAACCACUGGUUCCAUGCAACGUAAAAACACCAUACAAUCAAUACAACUUCUUCUUUCAGGUGAUUGUCCGGAGUAAUGUUUGGAGUUCUGCUGUUAGCAUGUGUAAUCGGCCAGCACGAAAUGAAUUUCCAGGACAAUAACGACUAUGUGAACCCGAGACUGUAUGAAGAUCUUGGUAUCAACGGCGGAUAUAGGGUAGUUACGUUUCUCAUUGUAAUAAAUUAUUUAAAAUUUUAA